UGGGGAAUUUUGGACAAUGGGCGCAAGCCUGAUCCAGCCAUGCCGCGUGAGUGAAGAAGGCCUUCGGGUUGUAAAGCUCUUUCGGCCGGGAAGAAAUCGCGUGGGCUAAUAUCCUGCGUGGAUGACGGUACCGGAAUAAGAAGCACCGGCUAACUACGUGCCAGCAGCCGCGGUAAUACGUAGGGUGCGAGCGUUAAUCGGAAUUACUGGGCGUAAAGCGUGCGCAGGCGGUUUUUUAAGAUAGGCGUGAAAUCCCCGGGCUCAACCUGGGAACUGCGCUUAUGACUGGAAGACUCGAGUAUGGCAGAGGGGGGUGGAAUUCCACGUGUAGCAGUGAAAUGCGUAGAGAUGUGGAGGAACACCGAUGGCGAAGGCAGCCCCCUGGGCCAAUACUGACGCUCAUGCACGAAAGCGUGGGGAGCAAACA
rnacentral:rRNA from 1 species